rnacentral:lncRNA from 1 species
CUCCUCACUCUCUUUUCUCUGCUGGAGAUCAGAUGCCUUUCAGGAAGCCCACAGUUCUCUCCUCUCUGCUCCCCCAUUGCUGCUCCCCUAACUAGGCCUCCGCAUCCAUUUCCCUGGUGCAGUCUUCCCGCCAAGAGGCUCUGAGCACUCUCAAGAC